CAGAAAUAGGGGUUCCUUGCAGCCCAAAGCAAGCACAAUAUGGGUAUAUAAGAAAAACUUGUGAUGCAUAUCAACAUGUUUGUGUGGCUUUGGACUGAAGGGAGCUCCUAAUUCUU
rfam:Beta vulgaris subsp. vulgaris Bvchr8.sca018.con0150.1, whole genome shotgun sequence.